UACGUAGGCAGCGAGCGUUGUUCGGAAUUACUGGGCGUAAAGAGUGUGUAGGCGGUGCUCUAAGUUCGGUGUGAAAUCUCCUGGCUCAACUGGGAGGGUGCGCCGGAAACUGGAGUGCUUGAGCGUGGGAGAGGAAAGCGGAAUUCCUGGUGUAGCGGUGAAAUGCGUAGAUAUCUGGAGGAACACCGGUGGCGAAGGCGGCAUCCUGGACCGGCAUUGACGCUGAGACGCGAAAGCGUGGGGAGCAAACAGG
rnacentral:rRNA from 1 species